CCCUUAGAUGUUCUGGGCCGCACGCGCGCUACACUGAUGAAUUCAACGAGCUCCUAACCUAGGCCGAAGGGUCCGGGUAAUCUUUGUAAUUUCAUCGUGAUGGGGAUAGAUUAUUGCAAUUAUUAAUCUUCAACGAGGAAUUCCUAGUAAGCGCGAGUCAUCAGCUCGCGUUGAUUACGUCCCCGCCCUUUGUACACACCGCCCGUCGCUCCUACCGAUUGAAUGGUCCGGUGAAAUGUUCGGAUCGCGGCAAAUCGGACGGGUAACCGUCAGGUUCGCUGCGAGAAGUUCAUUAAACCUUAUCAUUUAGAGGAAGGAGAAGUCGUAACA
rnacentral:rRNA from 1 species